UCCUCUGUAGUUCAGUCGGUAGAACGGCGGACUGUUAAUCCGUAUGUCACUGGUUCGAGUCCAGUCAAGGAGCCA
rnacentral:tRNA from 1 species